GGUCACUACCAGAGUCCCCCAGGGCGGAGCGGAAGACCACCACGUCCUUGUGGUCGCCGCCAGAGUCCCCCAGGGCGGAGCGGAAGACCACCACGUCCUUGUGGUCGCCGCCAGAGUCCCCCAGGGCGGAGCGGAUGACCCACACGCCCCCGUGGUUGAGGCCGGAGUCCCCCAGGACGGAGCAGCAGACCACCCAGUGACUUGACUUGGCUCCGGAGGGUCCACCGGAACCUGACUCGACUCCGGAGAGUCCACAGGAACCUGACCCGACUCCGGAGAGUCCACCGGAACCUGACCCGACUCCGGAGAGUCCACCAGAACCUGACCCGACUCCGGAGAGUCCACCGGAACCUGACCCGACUCCGGACUGUCUGUGAAGACCUGAGGCGCCUUGGCUUUCUGGCACUGUCUUUGGAACAGUCUCGGGCACCGCCUCGGUCGAGGCAUCGGGAGCGACCUCGGACACUGCAUCGGGAAUGGCCUCAGGCACCGCCUCUGUAACGGCCUCGGGUGCGGUCUCGGGCACCGCAUCGGGAACGGCCUCGGGCACCGCCUCGGCCUCCGGAACCGCAUCGGGCACCGCCUCGGCCUCCGGAACAGCAUCGGUCACCGCCUCGACCUCUGGAACAGCAUCGAGCACCGCCUCGACAUCGAGCACCGCCUCGGCCUCAGGAACAGCCUCGGGCACCGCCUCGGCAUCGGGCACCACCUCGGCCUCAGGAACAGCCUCGGGCACUGCCUCGGCAUCGGACACCACCUCGGUCACUGGAACAGCAUCGGGCACCGCCUCGGGUACCGCCUAGGGUACGGCAGCGGUCCGCUCGUGAAUGUCCUCCUGGACGGCAGCGGCCCGCUCGGGAACGUCCUUCUGGACGACAGCGGCCCGCUCGGGAACGUCCUCCUGGACGACAGCGGCCCGCUCGGGAACGUCCUCCUGGACGACAGCGGCCCGCUCGGGAACGUCCCCCUGGACGGCAGCGGCCCGCUCGAGAACGUCCUCCUGGACGGCAGCAGCCUGCUCGGGAACGUUCUCCAGGCUUUGAGGAACGGUAGAACCCGGUCCCCUCUUCCUCCGCCCUCUACGAUGGCGAGUCGGGGGCACCUUGACUGGCGACUCAGACGUUGGGUCAGCCAUCUUGUGCUGUGGCUCGAAGCUGGCGGCCAUCUUGUGCUGUGGCUCGAAGCUGGUGGCCAUUUUGUGUUGUGGCGCUGUGCUGGCGGCCAUCUUGUGCUGUGGCGCUGGGCUGGCGGCCAUCUUGUGCUGUGGCGCUGGGCUGGCGGCCAUCUUGUGCUGUGGCGUUGGGCUG
rnacentral:lncRNA from 1 species